rnacentral:lncRNA from 1 species
GAUACCGACUAUGGGAUCCCUUAGAGAAGAAGGUUGUCAUUAGUAGAGAUGUCACCUUUGAUGAAAAUUCAAUUCUCCAAAGGUGAGAUGGCAUGGAGGAGCAGCAGAAGGUCUAGCAGGGUAGCGCUGGACAACUAACAUCCUAUUCUAUUUUACCACUUGCAGGUGCAUCGAGAGGACUUAGUAUUCAGAUGGAGCACUUUUCAAAGAUGUCUCCAA